rnacentral:rRNA from 1 species
AUUGAACGCUGGCGGCAGGCCUAACACAUGCAAGUCGAGCGGAUGAGAAGAGCUUGCUCUUCGAUUCAGCGGCGGACGGGUGAGUAAUGCCUAGGAAUCUGCCUGAUAGUGGGGGACAACGUCUCGAAAGGGACGCUGAUACCGCAUACGUCCUACGGGAGAAAGCAGGGGACCUUCAGGCCUUGCGCUAUCAGAUGAGCCUAGGUCGGAUUAGCUUGUUGGUGAGGUAAUGGCUCACCAAGGCGACGAUCCGUAACUGGUCUGAGAGGAUGAUCAGUCACACUGGAACUGAGACACGGUCCAGACUCCUACGGGAGGCAGCAGUGGGGAAUAUUGGACAAUGGGCGAAAGCCUGAUCCAGCCAUGCCGCGUGUGUGGAGAAGGUCUUCGGAUUGUAAAGCACUUUAAGUUGGGGGGAAGGGCAGUCAGCGAAUACCUGGUUGUUUUGACGUUACCGACAGAAUAAGCACCGGCUAACUCUGUGCCAGCAGCGCCGUAACAC